rnacentral:lncRNA from 1 species
AAAAAUUACCGUACGCGUAUCGAAAAUUAUUUUUGUAAUUUUUUGUUUACGUUUGUUUCUUUUCGAAUGUGGCAUACAGGUGUGUACCAUUGAAAUACAUAUUCUCCUCCUUCCACAUUUUCGUCAGACCAAAAACUCACGUUGCCAGACCAAAAAAACACAUUACCGUACGCUUGAAACGAGCCGAAAUAUUGCAGUAUAAAAAAAUAACAAAAAUAUUUUGGCAUGGGAUUUUACUGCAGGAGCAAAAAAGCCUACAUGAUUUUUUUGGUAAAACCUAUUGUUCUUGUUCGGUGUCAACAUUUUCGUAUUUUCACCCUUGUAUUUUGACAAAAAAAUUGCCAAAAUUGAGAAAUUCUUAGAGCUUUUUGUUUUUUAAGUGCUGAAGAUACAAAGUCUUAUUUUUUUAAUUUUUUUAACUGCUAUAUUUUUUCACAUACAAAUUGAGAUGUUGAGAUUUUUUUCCUUUCAUUCCUUCUAAAUUUAAUAAGUAACUACCUUAUUUUUUGUAAAAAUGUAAUUUAAAAAUAAAUACUCAAUGUCUUUUUUGAUUUUUCCACCUCCUGUAUGCUAUCAUGUCUUUCGGAUUGCUAUUUUACCGUACCAUUACCAGCGCCUGUACGGAAUUAGGAAUAAUAGUGGCCAGUCUGAAAUAACGAUAUAAUGAUAAUCAAUUUGACGAGCGACAUCGUUGUCUACUGGUGAUGGUUCGAUUCCUGUUCCUGGAAUAGAGACCCUGUAAAAUUACUUUUUACACAAAACAAGGUAGUUAAUUAUUAAUUUUAGAAGGAAUCAAAGGAAAAAAUAUCUUAAUAUCUCAAUUUGUACGUGAAAAAAUAUAACAGUUAAAAAAAUAAAAAAAAAAUAUGACUUUGUAUCUUCAGCACUUAAAAAACAAAAAGCUCUAAGAAUUUUUCAAUUUUGGCUAACUUUUUUGUCAAAAUACAAGGGCGAAAAUACGAAAAUGUUGACACCGAACAAGAACAAUAGGUUUUACCAAAAAAAUCAUGGAGGCUUUUUUGCUCCUGCAGUAAAAUCUCAUGCCAAAAUAUUUUUGUUAUUUUUUUAUACUGCAAUAUUUCGGCUCGUUUCCAGCGUACGGUAAUGUGUUUUUUUGGUCUGGCAACGUGAGUUUUGGUCUGACGAAAAUGUGAAAGGAGGAGAAUAUGCAUUUCAAUGGUACACACCUGUAUGCCACAUUCAAAAACAAACAAACGUAAACAAAAAAUUACAAAAAUAAUUUUCGAUACGCGUACGAUAAUUUUUCGGUCGCUUGUUCUGAGUCCCAGUCGCAUCUAAAAAAUAAAUGGUAUUUGGGUUUUAGACGCGCCUUGGUGUGUAGAAUUUACCAUAUUUUUUUGUCGCCACUUAACGGAGACACCCUGUAUAUAAGGGACCUUACAUAAGAUAAAUCGCCUAAGCUUAGAGUGAACUUCUGAGGCAAAAACCGAGACCUCAAAAGUCGAAACACGCAUGUCUUGGCUUGUAAAUGAUAUUAUGUGUGAAAUCUAGCAUUCAAAUUGAAAAAAAUAGCAAUUCACUAUAACAGAUUAUAUCCAAAUAAUUAUCUUGAUUUAUAAUAGGUAAUGGUAAGUUUAUAUACUUAAGUUUUGAUAAUAAUACCUUUUGUGUGAGUACUAUCGAAU